UGUGAUUGAAAUAAAUUCUAGUUUUAUUGGUUUGCUGAAGUUCUGUCCCAUCGUGUUACAUUGAAACGUGUUGAGAAACACUCCUAGUGAUCCUAGUGGGUUACAUUUCUGAGGAAUACUUAAAAAAACAACAACCAGGAUGGUGGUUUGUCUCGUUAUAAACCUUGUAAAGUAAAAAUCCCAGGAGAGGAAGGUGAAGCCACACCAGAACUACAGUAUGUGAGUGUAAAACUGACAGCAGUAGACACUGUAAACCAUGGUAAUGCACUGAACUUUUUAUCUCAGCCUAUUAGAUGCUCAUCCCGCAACCCCCUAAUGCUUAAAUUCAAAGAGUUUCUCUAAGUCAGGCUUAUUAAAUUAGCACUGGAGGCUCUCUAGGAUCCAGAAUCAGUUCUGUGAGGUGCUAUAUGCAGUGUUUGAAAAGGUUAACGCCACAAAUCCAGCUUUCAGAUGACUAGUUUUCACAAGAAUUGCCAAUUUCUUUUCAAAGUCUUUGCCCUGAAAAGAAUUCAAAAUAUGCUAUAAUCACAUAAAGUCCACAUGAUCUCAGUCCAGGCUUUCAAUGCCAGAAAGCAUCCAUCAUGAAGAGCCUCUACCCUGAGGCUGACCUCCGACCUCCUCUGGAACGAGCCAAGAGACAGAUGUCAGGCUUUACUAAAACAUCUGGAAAAAAGAGAAACUGUGGAUCUACUUCCCAAAUGAGCAGAUGGACGGUUAAAAAAAAGACUAAAAAUACAGAACGGAGGGUUACAGAAUAGGACACAGCCAAGGUGUGACAGCGAGGUUAGACAUCCAAAGUAGGUCAGAUUUCAAGAUGUAAUGGAAAUCCAGCUACUAAUCUGAUCCAGGGGUGUGGAUUAUGCCCUCCUUCCCUCUUUCCAGGGUCACAUACAUGAGCUGUCAGAACAAUACUGAGUGGGUGAUUCAAGUAAAAACAAACACACAUUAAGACAGCGAAAAAAAAAUCAUUUAGUUCUGCCAUUGAAGCAUUAAAACAUCCAGUUGAAGUGAUUUCCUAUCUUUGCUUCUGAUGGAGAGCGUCCAUGGAGCAUCGAGGCAGCGGAGUCGGUCACGUGACCCCGAAACCGGGAAUCAAACGGCGGCCCCCGGCAUAUCGAAAGCAGCUGUUUUAAAUAUUUCCCGCAGUCCCGCUGAGUUGCAAGAUGUGCCUGGAGCGUCAGCAAAAUCCCUGUUACUGGUACAUUCAUCAGAGCCGCUCAGACAAUCCAACAAGUUGUCAUGUGGCCUGUAUUUUUCAAAGAGUGGUGUAUUUCUU
ensembl:lncRNA